rnacentral:rRNA from 1 species
UCUCCUGGAAAACGGGUGGUAAUGCCGGAUGUUCCACAUGAUCGCAUGUGAUUGUGGGAAAGAUUUCAUCGGCGUGGGAUGGGGUCGCGUCCUAUCAGCUUGUUGGUGAGGUAACGGCUCACCAAGGCUUCGACGGGUAGCCGGCCUGAGAGGGCGACCGGCCACAUUGGGACUGAGAUACGGCCCAGACUCCUACGGGAGGCAGCAGUGGGGAAUAUUGCACAAUGGGCGCAAGCCUGAUGCAGCGACGCCGCGUGAGGGAUGGAGGCCUUCGGGUUGUAAACCUCUUUUGUUUGGGAGCAAGCCUUCGGGUGAGUGUACCUUUCGAAUAAGCGCCGGCUAACUACGUGCCAGCAGCCGCGGUAAUACGUAGGGCGCAAGCGUUAUCCGGAUUUAUUGGGCGUAAAGGGCUCGUAGGCGGCUCGUCGCGUCCGGUGUGAAAGUCCAUCGCUUAACGGUGGAUCUGCGCCGGGUACGGGCGGGCUGGAGUGCGGUAGGGGAGACUGGAAUUCCCGGUGUAACGGUGGAAUGUGUAGAUAUCGGGAAAGAACACCA